UGGCUAAAAAUCAGUAAGAAAAGGAUGAUC
rnacentral:piRNA from 1 species